UGAGUACGAGAGUCUACGGACUCGAAGUGGUGUAGCCAAACUGCCAAGAAAAGCUCUAAACACGUUAAUUCAUAAUUACCUGUACCCGAAACCGACACAGGUAGGGAGGUAGAGAAUACCAAGGGGCGCGAGAUAACUCUCUCUAAGGAACUCGGCAAAAUAGCCCCGUAACUUCGGAAGAAGGGGUGCCCACCUAAGACGUGGGUCGCAGUGAAAUGAUCCAAGCGACUGUUUACCAAAAACACAGGUCUCCGCUAACUCGCAAGAGGAAAUAUGGGGGCUGACGCCUGCCCAGUGCCGGAAGGUUAAGGAAGUCGGUCAGCGAAAGUGAAGCUGGCGACCGAAGCCCCGGUGAACGGCGGCCGUAACUAUAACGGUCCUAAGGUAGCGAAAUUCCUUGUCGGGUAAGUUCCGACCCGCACGAAAGGCGUAACGAUUUGGAUGCUGUCUCGGAGAGAGACUCGGCGAAAUAGGAAUGUCUGUGAAGAUACGGACUACUUGCACCCGGACAGAAAGACCCUAUGAAGCUUUACUAUAACUUGGAAUUGGGUUCGGGCUUCUUCUGCGCAGGAUAGGUGGGAGACAAUGAUAUUGUCCUUGUGGGGACAGUGGAGUCAACGGUGAGAUACCACUCUGGAGAGGCUAGGAUUCUAACCCUUACCCAUAAUCUGGGAAGGGAACGGUUUCAGGCGGGUAGUUUGACUGGGGCGGUCGCCUCCUAAAUGGUAGCGGAGGCGCGCAAAGGUUCCCUCAGGCUGGACGGAAAUCAGCCGAAGAGUGUAAAAGCAUAAGGGAGCUUGACUGCAAGACCAACAAGUCGAGCAGCGACGAAAGUCGGCUUUAGUGAUCCGACGGCACAGCGUGGAAUGGCCGUCGCUCAACGGAUAAAAGUUACUCUAAGGAUAACAGGCUGAUCUCCCCCAAGAGUUCACAUCGACGGGGAGGUUUGGCACCUCGAUGUCGGCUCAUCGCAACCUGGUGCGGAAGUACGUGCCAAGGGUUGGGCUGUUCGCCCAUUAAAGCGGUACGUGAGCUGGGUUCAGAACGUCGUGAGACAGUUCGGUCCAUAUCCGGUGCAAGCGCAAGAGCAUUGAGAGGACUCCUCCUUAGUACGAGAGGACCGGGAGGAACGCACCGCUGGUGUACCAGUUACCGUGCCAACGGUAAACGCUGGGUAGCCAUGUGCGGAGAGGAUAACCGCUGAAAGCAUCUAAGUGGGAAGCCCACCUCAAGAUGAGUGCUCUCAUGGAGUUAAUCCAGUAAGGUCACGGGCAGAAUACCCGUUGAUAGGCUUCAGGUGGAAGCGUGGCAACACGUGCUGCCGUGAAGUACUAAUAGACCGAGGGCUUGUCC
rnacentral:rRNA from 1 species